GAACACUUCCAGUCAAUGACAGUGACCUUGUGGAAGAGAGCGUGGAGGUGCCAGAAGUGUAUGAGGCACCUGAUGAUGCUGAAGUGGUUGCAUCGUGGGAUGCAACCACUACGGACCAGGAAGACUCCUUCUCUACAGGAUGCCUGGAGGAGAGCCCUGCUCCCACCAAUGAGAAUUGUGGAGCAGCACAAAAUGCCGCAAGUCCCGCUGCCAGCUGCCCACCAAGCAGCAGGAAGCGAAAGCGGCCAUCAUCUGUGCUGCAAGAUUUGAUGACGAUGUUCAGCCGCGCAGAAGAUCGAGCAGCAGAAAAUGCGAAAGAGUCCCUUCAGCUGCGCAAGGAGCUUGUGGAACUCCAGAAGGAGGCCAAUGAGAUGAACAAAAAUAUGGCCGAAAUGGUGAACAGCUAUUUUGCUUCAAGGCAAAAUAAAGGUUGAAUGCAAGGGAUCCAA